AAGGUAUUUUGCUAAGUAUAGGCUUAUUAUUCUUUAUUUUAGGGAUUAUUUGUUACUUUUUUAUGGGGUCUCUUUAUACACUGUGUGAAGAUUUGCCCUCAGUGUGUGGCUACUUUAGUGGACCUCCUAUCAGGAUAGAGGAGUGUGCAUACUUUUGUGACCACCUCUGUUUGAUCUAAUAUGCGGGUUUCAUCUAUUCCUUGUUUCUGUUUAUUAUACAUUCCAUGUACUGCCUCUCUUUGCCAUGUUUUUGGAGGAGCUGGUGAGCUUAUCCAAUUAGUCCAUACACUCCUAAUUGGAUUUUUAUGUGUUUUAAUUAUAUCACUGUGUUUUAAUACAUUUAGCAAUUUCACAAUUAAUUGAUUAUGUGUAAAUAUAAAUGUUAACUUUUUCAUGUGGUGUUAGCUUGACAAAGACCUGGGUACAGGUCGAAACGUUACGUUAAAGCCGCUUAACGUAUCCCAGUGAGUGCCUGAGAUUUUUUCCUGGUCUUUGUCGAAAGGCAGAAAAAAUGCUUAUUACCACUACACUUGGUACCAGCUAGCGGAAACAUGAUUUCAGGCCAAGUUUCAAAAUAUGUGGAGAGCAAAAAACAGGGUGCAAGAGAAUACUGAGAACGGGCAGCAACUGAAAUAGCUUGCCCUUCGGUGGGUCCCUGCUUAGAUCUCAAACUGGUUUUAGCUCAUAUUGUGCCAUUACAGAGAGAACAUCUCUGAAACAUAUCAGACUGAUCCCACCCAUACGGGCAGUCCAGAUCGGAAAUGCCAGCAAGUUCCCUCUGCACGAGAGAUACAGCAACCCCAGACGAUCAUUUCAGCCUUGUUAGGCAUCAUCAGUAAGGCAUAGCUGAUAUGUCUCUAAGCACCGUGAGCAAGGGGUACAAAGCGGUAGCACACAUAAGGUUUGCAAAAUAUACAGUGCAAACUUACUUUGUGUGUCAAAAAGGCAGAAACAAUGCUUAUUACCACUACACUUGGUACAAGCUAGCAGAAGAAUGAUCCC